AUGGAGUCUCACUCUGUCGCCUAGGCUGGAGUGCAGUGGUGCGAUCUUGGCUAAUUGCAACCUUCACCUCCCGAAUUCAAGUGAUUCUCCUGCCUCAGCCUCCCAAGUAGCUGGGAUUACAGGCAUGUGACACCACGCCCGGCUAAUUUUUUUUUUUUUUUUGUAUUUUUAAUAGAGACGGGGUUUCGCCAUAUUUGCCAGGCUGGUCUGGAACUCCUGACCUUGUGAUCCGCCUGCCUCAGCCUCCCAAAGUGCUGGGAUUACCGGCGUGAGCCACCGU
rnacentral:lncRNA from 1 species